GAUUAGGGUGUAUUGUUGUUUUGAUUUACCUGUUUUGUUCAAAAUGAAAUAAUUCCCCAAUAUUUUCAUUUUUAAAAAGUGCUACGUUAAAUUUUUGAUUUUUAUCCUUCUUUUAAUUUUUUUUAAAUUGAACCUUCUUAAAAAAUCGAGCUUUAAGGCAUAAUAUCAAAGAUUUUUUAUAUGAAAUAUUUUGGUUUCAGUGCCGCAAGAAGAUUUAGUACAGUGUGUACCAACCAAAAAAGGCCACCAAAUAAUGUUUCAGGGAUACACAUACGUUUUUAAAGCAAAACUACAGUGUGGUGCAGAGCAAUGGAACUGUUCCUACAGACAAAAAACCGGUUGCAUAUCUGUAAUAAACAUGCAAACUUAUGGUGUAGAAGUAGUUCGAGACUUCCAUAAUCAUAAAAAGCCCCUGUUCAGUGAUUAAAGCUCAGUAAUUAUAUCAGAAACUAACUAUUAGCUAGGUAUAUUAUAAAUAACCUGCAUCUGGUACAAUGUGAAAAACAAUUACUAGGAAAAAGAACUAGGUUCUUGUACUUACUACUGAAUAUUUGCAAUAUAUAAUUGUUUAUCACUGUAAUCACAAUAACCUUUGAGGGAGUUCAGAUAUAUAACAACCUGCAACAUUGACUUCUUUUAAAGCGAGCCUUCAAAGGCACAUACUCAAUAAUUAUGAAAUGUUUCAAUAACAUAUGUAGGUUGUUUUAUGUCUUAUCUGUUUGCCUAACAUUGAAUUGCAUUCUGUACCCACCAUAAUCAUUGUUGUUAAGUACCUACUUUAAUUUGUAAAAUAUUAAUUUCUCAUGUAAGUGACAAUAGGUCUUAAUGAGAAUAAAGUUAUUUAAACCUAAUCAGAUUCACCACCUGGAUAUUAUGUAUCAUUUGUUGGUAGUAGUUUUGGUUGACUGUUUAUUAGUGUAACUAGAAAACCUAUUUUCUACAUACAAAUUCUAGAAAUUGUUUUUAUCCACAAAAUUUGUGCUAUAAAUAAAAGGAUUACUGUAUUGUAUUUAUCCACCCAUAUCGAAUAAAAGAGAACAGUUUACCAGACUGGGUAUUCUUAUAUUUCUUGCAAGAAUCUAGUGGAUUAUUCAAGUGUAAUAUAUGUGUUUCUGAGGUGACUGUUACGGAGAAAUGUUUAGAGCUUUUGCAUCACAUGCAGGAAACACAUAAAGAAAUAUAUGAUUUACAUAAGGACAGUAUUGACUCAAAUGUGUGCUACCAAGUGGAGUUCUUAGAUUGUAAUAAAGAGGUGGAAGAGUCUACCCCACAAAUUGUUAUCAAUGAGGUGCUAUGUGAUGAACAGGAUGAAAAAACUGGAGAAAAUUUCAAAACUGUUGAACGGAAGUCAAAAUACAUAGUAAUAUCUAAAUACAAUCAAGAAAAACCUUAUAAGAUACAUAAGGAGUCUGUAUAUCCCCGCAAAAGAAGUUGGGUUUGGAAAUACUUUGAUCGAGUAACAAAAACGAUAUAUCGAUGCAAUCUGUGUAGUGCGGGCCUGUCGAUAAAGGCUAACAACUCGAAUAACAUGAACCGGCACAUCCGAACCAAACAUUUGGUUGCAUAUAAUAGGGAAGUGCACAAUUCGUCGCAACCUUCCGUUUCUAAUCGCAGCAGAAACGAAGACGGUGCGGUGCAAGUGCGGUCAUUUCUAGUGCAGCCGAAACCUCGUCGUAGCUGGGUGUGGCGGCACUUCGACCACGUCACAAAGAAGACAGCUAAAUGUAGAUUUUGUAAACGACUGAUCAGUCAUGGCGGCAACGCAACCGGGAACAUGAACCGACAUCUGAAGGUGGUGCACAAGAAGAGUCCAGAUUGUAUCGACAAUCACUGGGCUUGGAAAGUAUUUGAUGUCAUUGAUACAAUACCCACGUGUAGCAUUUGCAAUUAUCAGACUGCCAAAGACGACGACCAAGAACAGAAUCUUCAGAAUGUUUUGGAUCAUCUUAUGGAAGAGCAUGGGGUUGUUUCUGGCUCGCAGAUUAUAAGUACAGAUACGUUAGAUGUUGGCGAGAUAUGAGUCAUUGGAUAAAGUUCUAUUUCUUGACAAGGAAAGUUUAAUGAAUUCAAACAAGGAGUGAUAAGAAUACCAAGUGUACAAGUAAGAAUUGAAAGAAUCACAGAUACGAAUAUUCAACAAGAUGACGAAAAACCAUUAAGUGACCUUUCAAGCAAUAUUACAUCUGAUAUAGACCUAAAUAUUUCUGAUUCUUCAACGUGGCUGGAUCUACCUUCGUCGAGAUCAAGCAGUUCGUUUUCUGAUUUGGACGUCUAGCGAAGAAAGAAAUAUAUAUGUUUGGAAACUGUUAAGAGAGAGGACUCUCCAAAAUAUAUACAGUUGGUACAAUAUACCUUAAAUUGAUGCAGUGAUUUCGUAUUUGAACACGAAAUCACUAUUAUUAUAUUACUUUAGGUGAAAAAUAAUUACAACGCACACAAGAACAAAAUGCAAUCUGAACAUCUUUAUACAAAAUCUUAUAUUAAUAUUAACUCUAAAAAUACAACUCUAUUUCAAAUAGUUUUUUCUAAUGAAAAACUUACAUUUGACACAAAAUAGUUAAAAGCAGAUGAAAUAACUAAUAUAUAUUAUAACUAGACUACUGUUGUCUGUUACUUAAACUUUGCUGUUGAUAUACUAUACAUUUAAAAUGUACAAAUUGACCCUGUAAUUAUUGUUAUUGAUUUCACUAACUUAGGAGCUUCUGACGUGUCUAAGACAAACGUGAAUAAACGAGUGAUCGAUAAUCCUGCGCAUGGUAUUUCUAUUUUAGGCCUUAGUAAAAAUCGAAAGGAAGAUAGCAAAGAAUAAUGAAAGAAGAAUAAAAAAAGUCAAAUGUAUCGUAAUAUAAUUUGAUAAAUUUUGGAGUCAAAACUUUAGCAGAUCAAAAAACAAUGUAAGAUGAAUUGCGACUAAAUUCUUUUGCUGAAGUUAACAUUGAAACACAUGUUGUUAUAUUUUAGAUCCAGCAAAAGAAACAAUUACUGAAUACUGUUAAUUUUUUUUAACCUAUAUGUGUUAAAAUUCCUAUGAUUGUAGGAUUUUGAUUUGCAUUCAGCUUGCAUUAAAAAUGCAUACAAAUAUAUAUUAUAUACUUGAAGAAUAUUUUUUUUUAAAUUGUAUAAGUAUUUUUAUAAUAAAAAAGGGGCGUGCAUUAAAUAUAGGCAAUUAGGCAUAACCUACUUCAAUAAAAACCUUAAUUAAAAUUAUAUAGCACUGGGAUUAUAGUUAUUUUAUUUUAAUUUGGUUCUAUUAUUCUAAAACCAAACUUCCAUUAAACACUCAUCCAGUAAGUUUUUAUAUGGAAAUAUCUAGGAAAAUUAAUUAAGGUAUUCUGAAGCUAAUAAAAAAGCGGACUGUAUGUCAUUUUUCAAGAGUGUAAUUUAAAUCAUAUCAAUAUAAAAUUAUUUUGUAGAAAAUAUAACAAAGAUGAAUUAAUUAAAUAAAAAGAAAAAGAUAUAACUAAAUUUCUAACUACAUAAUGUCAUAUUGUUAGGUACUUGUACCUAUCUAGAGUGACAUCAACUAAAAUAUUAGGUUGACCAAAUGGUCCCCGAAACUAUACGCGAAACACAAACAACUUCAAUAUUUUGAUCUCAAAACCUAGCGCCGUCGGACUAAAGCACAACUAGUUUGAUCUUCAUGCCUACCUUGCUGGAAAACCAAUGCACGCCCCAGUUUUAUUGUAUAAGUGUUCUUCACAUAUAAAUAAAAGGUAUACAAGUAAAUAAAUAAAAAAUAUUCCAGUUAAAAUUCGGACAUUUUGAAUAAUAAUACAUUAACAUUCAAGUGACGGACGGCUUAGGCCCACAGUUAUGUGUGCUCUGUAAGUACACGAUCCUGCCAUUGUAUGUGUGAAGAGCUGCUUUACACCAAGGUCCUCUUGAGCAUCGCCACCUUAUUUUCCCAUUUCUUGCACAUCCGUUGAACCUAAACCGAUAUCCGCCAACGGUUAUUCCCAUUUUGCCUUGUUUGCUAAGACAGUACGAAGCAACAAAAUCCAGUCCACCGAAAAAUCCUGAAAAUUAUCAUUUUUGUUAGACUCGUUGGAAAUUUAUUAUGUUCACCUGGGCGUACAAUGUAAAUUACAAUCUGUGAAAACUUUUUCUUUACAGGGUGACAUUAAAGUAAUAAUUAAAACUAUAUAAUAUGACAUAAACUAAAUAAAAUCUAUUUUUUUACACUGCAGAAGGCCUACCAUCUACUUUUAAUUAGCGAUUUAAUGCCGAUGCAAUUCAGUUUAGGAACCUAAACUCGUAUUCGUAAAAAUAAACUGAUUAAAAUGACCUAUGAACGCCCCAUGUUGAUUUGACAGGAGAACAGAGUACAUUUUUUUUAAUUCAUUCUUGCGAACAGGCUUAUAGCCAGGGGCCUUAGGUAUUGCCUUGUUUUUAGUAUUUAUUUUCAGUUUUUGUUUUACAAAAAGUCCAAUAAAGUAUUCUCAUCUCAUCUUUCAUCAAUUCCAUUUUCCUUUUCUUUAUGUUUUCAAUAGUUUAUAAAAGUUAUUAACAAAACGACUCAAAAUUUUUGAAUCGCUCACUUUAAGCUAUCCAGUUUAGGUUGAAAUAUUACCUCAUGGUACGAAUGAAUGUACCAACUAAAACAGUAUGCGAUUCAAUUUCCGACUUGAUUUGACGUCAACCAAAAUUGGAUAGCUCUAAUAAUGUCGUGGUAUGAGUAGCAAAGCAGUUCAUUUUAGGUUGUUAAUUGAAUCUCAAUAAGAGUUCAUGGUAGGUCCUUUAAAAAUCUUAGGGAAUACAAUUAAUCGGAAAGAUUUUUUACAAUAACACAGUUCAAUUGAAAUAUUUUUAUUUUUGAUGGAAUGUAACACACACACACCAUAUAUGUUACAAUAGCAACCUUAAAUAUUUAAAUAAGAAGUGAACCAGUUGUAGACAUUCUUGUGAUUAAAUUGAAUAAAGUGUUUUGUACCAAAGUA